rnacentral:rRNA from 1 species
GCAAGUCGAACGAGUAGCCAAGGUGCUUGCAUUUUGGUGAGAGUGGCGAACGGGUGAGUACACGUAGAUAAUCUGCCCUCGGUUUGGGGAUAGCCCAUGGAAACAUGGAUUAAUACCGAAUAUCUUCUUGGUCCGCAGGGACAGUAGAGGAAAGAUCCUAAGGGAUCGGCUGAGGAUGAGUCUGCGGCCCAUUAGCUAGUUGGUGGGGUAAGAGCCUACCAAGGCGAUGAUGGGUAGCCGGCCUGAGAGGGUGACC